rnacentral:rRNA from 1 species
GAUGAACGCUGGCGGCGUGCCUAAUACAUGCAAGUCGAGCGAACAGACGAGGAGCUUGCUCCUCUGACGUUAGCGGCGGACGGGUGAGUAACACGUGGAUAACCUACCUAUAAGACUGGGAUAACUUCGGGAAACCGGAGCUAAUACCGGAUAAUAUAUUGAACCGCAUGGUUCAAUAGUGAAAGACGGUUUUGCUGUCACUUAUAGAUGGAUCCGCGCCGCAUUAGCUAGUUGGUAAGGUAACGGCUUACCAAGGCGACGAUGCGUAGCCGACCUGAGAGGGUGAUCGGCCACACUGGAACUGAGACACGGUCCAGACUCCUACGGGAGGCAGCAGUAGGGAAUCUUCCGCAAUGGGCGAAGGCCUGACGGAGCAACGCCGCGUGAGUGAUGAAGGUCUUCGGAUCGUAAAACUCUGUUAUUAGGGAAGAACAAAUGCGUAAGUAACUAUGCACGUCUUGACGGUACCUAAUCAGAAAGCCACGGCUAACUACGUG